AAGAGAAGUCAAGAGAAGGUACUGAUAUGCACUGGAUGGACAGGUACAUGUGGAGCAAUGCUCUCUGAGCGAGGUUCUGAAACCAGCUGACUGACUCCUAUACAUCAGACAAAUGAGAAGGCACCCCCAUUGAAACAGUUCACAAAGAAAGAGUUCUUAAUGAGCACAGCAGCAAAUCCUUCAACAGCUAUACACCCAGAGCCUACUUGGAGGAAACAGAGACUAUAACAAACAGCAAGUGGUCAAAAGUAAAACACCUAGACACAGAAGAAAAUUUAAAAAGGGAAAAUCCUGGAUCAUCUAUUCCUGAAUAACUGAAGGUUGGCACCCGUUCAUAAGAUCUGCUGAAUGAUCUACGGGGACUCUUUUGUCUUCGAAUACACUAAA